UUUAUAUGCAUGGAAAAUUCAAAACUCCUCCCAAUAUUAUACACAAUAUCACAUUGUACACUAAUUCCAGUAUAACAAAACUCAAUCAUACCCUAAUUACUUAUAAAAUGCUAAUUAAAAUAAAACAUCCAAAACUUUACAAAAAAAUAGAUAAAGGUAAGUUUUACCUGCAAGUCUCAGCAACUCUGGGAUCAUUAUCCCCCAAGGCUUCCAUCUGUAUCUUCAAUCCUUCCUUAUAACAAUCAAUGGACCGAUCGAGGAUUCGUCGAGAAGGCUCUUUUCCGCAGGUGAUUUCUUCUUGCCGGAAACUCCGAUCAGGAGAAAGCUUAGCGCAUGAAGUGGACGGGGAAGGGGAGGAUGGACAGUGAGAAGCCGGGUAGCAGGAUUUCAGGUUAAUGAUUCAGAUUUGGUAGGUUUCAAUCGGAUCGGGGCGUGUGGCUCAUCGAGUACCGAGAUUCGCAACGGCAGAGCUUCCUCUGGAGCAAGGCCGGCCCCUAGGCCUCCAAAAAUGUGGCUUGGGCCCAGGGCCUCAAAACUCAUAGGAAUGCUAUCAAUCAGUAGUCCAUGUUCGAGUCCAGCAGAAAGCAGGAAGGAAAUUGAAGGGAUGGGAAGGAAGCUGAAGGGACCAAUUCGACCAAAAGUGAACCACUAUUUUGCCCAUAAGUUUUCUGUUUUCCUCCACUCAAGCCAGCGUCCUGCUGCAGCUCCUGCUCAUCUCCACUCUCCAACGGCCAACCCUGUGUGCUCAUCUAUUUAGGUAUUAACUCUUUAAGUCACAUUUAUUGAAUAUGUGUAUUAAUCAUAUUAACCUGUUUGCCUUGUUCUGUCAAGAAUCGUCUUUUGAUAACCUAUCUUAAUUCUUAUUCAUUAUUUAAAUUAAUUUAGUUAACCUUGUUUAUUGAAAAAGUUUGUUAUUAUUGUCUGCAUUUCGUAAAACUGUAUGUUAAUCUCCUUUUUCUAACAUAGAUGACGAUUCUUAUGGUAUAUAUUUUCUUGUAUGGACGAGCAUAUCUGGUAAGUUUUAAUUUUAAUUUCCUUCUAUUUCCCCCUAGCCAUACGUUUGCUAGAGUUGUCUUUGUGAUAUAGACAAUUAAAAGCCAUCAUUUGCAUAGCAUAUUCUUGAGGGAAAAAAAAAAAACUUGCCAGUUUUUUAGAGAUAUGGUUUGGCCCAACUUUUACUGCUAAUGGGGACACAACACUGAAUUGGAAUUUCUGAAUUUAGAAUUCUGUCCUUAAAUUUUUGGAUUGUAGAAUGAUGAUUAUGGGUAGAAUUGUGGAAGAAUUUUGGACUUGUGGAUUUCAGAAUUCUGUCCUCUUCAUUCUCGAUGGAAGAAUAUUGAAACAAUGAAAUUCAAAACGUGAGAAGACUAAAUAUGAUUCUAGUGUAAUCUCUCGGGUUGUAAGUGAUAUUUUAUUUUGUAAUUCUAUCUUUUAGGUUGUACGAAGUUUUCAUUUGAAUAUAGUUAUAUAGAUAUAUUUUUUUA